UUUCCCCCCCGGGGCCCCGGGCCCGUCCCGCCGCCCCCGCCCGCCUAAGGGAGGCAGCAGUGGGGAAUAUUGCACAAUGGGCGCAAGCCUGAUGCAGCAACGCCGCGUGAGGGAAGACGGCCUUCGGGUUGUAAACCUCUUUUAGUAGGGAAGAAGCCUAGAAUGUCGA
rnacentral:rRNA from 1 species